rnacentral:lncRNA from 1 species
AUUUCCUUAUUGUGGACUUCCAUAAGAAUGAAACCAUAUGCUAAUAAUUGCAGCAACUGUGCCAGCAUCCUAUUAUAUUCUGCCAUGUACAGAUGAGAAAACUGAGUCUCUGAGACAGUUAAGGAACUUGUCUAAGGCAGCAUCCAGCAAGAGAAAGCAGGGAGGAGCUGACAGAGCCCUCAUCACUGCUUCCCUGACAGGAGGUAGGGGAAGCAAAAAAGAGCCUCUGAGGGGAAGCUCACCUCUGCUCGGACCCACCACAGUUACAGCACCUGUCCAGCUUUCUGUAGCACUUGAAGAAUCCUUUUGGAGCUGAGCAUCUAUUAGAAUCUUGAGGAACCAAUGUUUGUGGAACAUACUUUGGGAAAUGCUGGAGUGGAUCAUUACCCAGGACUGCAUUGCUGUGACCAGUGGUGAUUCUGCUUAAGUUAUUAUUUGAGGCAAGAGGAUGGUGUCUGAC